rnacentral:tRNA from 1 species
UGGUGUGUCGCCAAAUUAGGUAAGGCGUUAGCUUUUGAUGCUAUCAUAUUGUAGGUUCGAAUCUUACCAUACCAG